AUUGAACGCUGGCGGCAGGCCUAACACAUGCAAGUCGAACGAGUGGCGGACGGGUGAGUAAUGUCUGGGAAACUGCCCGAUGGAGGGGGAUAACUACUGGAAACGGUAGCUAAUACCGCCUACCAUCGGAUGUGCCCAGAUGGGAUUGGCCAGGAGGUGGGGUAACGGCUCACCAAGGCGACGAUCCCUAGCUGGUCUGAGAGGAUGACCAGCAAAACUGGAACUGAGACACGGUCCAGACUCCUACGGGAGGCAGCAGUGGUGAAUAUUGCACACUGGGCGCAAGCCUGAUGCCGCCAUGCCGCGUGGUUGAAGAAGGCCUUCGGGUUGUAAAGUACUUGCAGCGAGGAGGCGUUACCCGCAGAAAAAGCACCGGCUAACUCCGUGCCAGCAGCCGCGGUAAUAC
rnacentral:rRNA from 1 species